rnacentral:rRNA from 1 species
AUUGAACGCUGGCGGCAUGCCUUACACAUGCAAGUCGAACGGCAACAGGUUAAGCUGACGAGUGGCGAACGGGUGAGUAAUGUAUCGGAACGUGCCCAGUCGUGGGGGAUAACUGCUCGAAAGAGCAGCUAAUACCGCAUACGACCUGAGGGUGAAAGCGGGGGAUCGCAAGACCUCGCGCGAUUGGAGCGGCCGAUAUCAGAUUAGGUAGUUGGUGAGGUAAAGGCUCACCAAGCCGACGAUCUGAAGCUGGUCUGAGAGGACGACCAGCCACACUGGGACUGAGACACGGCCCAGACUCCUACGGGAGGCAGCAGUGGGGAAUUUUGGACAAUGGGCGCAAGCCUGAUCCAGCCAUGCCGCGUGCGGGAAGAAGGCCUUCGGGUUGUAAACCGCUUUUGUCAGGGAAGAAAAGGUUCUGGCUAAUACCUGGGACUCAUGACGGUACCUGAAGAAUAAGCACCGGCUAACUACGUG